GUCAACGCAUCAUUUUGGCUCCACGUUUCGUAGAUUUGCAUGGAUAGAUGUGCGCAAAUCCUUAUACAUGCUAGAACUCCAUUGUUGACCUAUGUUCCCGCAAUGUUCGGCCGUAGUGUCGUUUUUGAAGCGGAAAGCCUAGAAACACGCAUAUUUCUCACACAGAUAGUGAAGUUAGGAGUGUAUUUCAGACUUUCCUGACGCGCUCAUCGUAAUUUUUGAGCCAUUUUCUCCAAGAAAUAACUCUUCUUUUAGCUCUAGCUGAAGUUUGCAACAGGCUCAUUCUUUUCUCACGAGGUUAAGGUUAGGUAAAUUUAGGUUAAAUUAAGGUAAGGGUGCAAGUAUUCACGGUACGAUUGCGUUUACGUAGGUCCACACUGUAUUUCGAAGCCGGAGUGUACUGGGUGGAGGAUAGCAACGGUGUCCUCGGGAAGAGUCACAUCAAACUUCACCCGAACACCAACUUCGUCUACUUCGAGCCGGGGACCUACAUCAAGGGGGCGCUCGAGUACACGACCGCCAAAGACUUCUUCACCGUCGGCCACGGCGUCCUCUCCGGCGAGAACUACGCCUACCAAGCCAACACGCUCCAGGGCUACGUUUCCAGCAAGGAUGACAAGUCCAGUCUCAGACUUAUCUCGCACCAGGCGGUGAGCGACAACCAGACGUGGACGUGCGUGGGCGUAACGCUCAACGCUCCGCCGUUCAACUCGGUGGACCUCUUCCCGAGAGAGGCGACCAAUCACGAGGAGGACAACAGGGUGAGGAUCCGGGUCGAGGACUACAAGCAGGUCGGGGCUUUCUACUUCCAGACGGAUGGCUUGCCCGCCUACGGAGGCUCCAUCACCUCCGUCUUCCUCCACGCCAACGACGACGCCCUCAAGCUCUACUACUCCGACGCCCACGUCACCGACGUCGUCGUCUGGAAGGUGCACAACGACCCGGUGAUCCAGCUGGGUUGGAAGCCGCGGAACAUCUCGAACGUGGUGGUGGAGACGGUGGACGUGAUCCACAGCCGGUGGGCGUUCUCGCAGACGGCGGUGCCCUCGGCGAUCAUCGGGGCCUCGCCGUACUACAUGGACCCGAAGCUCGUGGACGCCGGGCGGACCGUCUCGGCGGUGGUGCGGAACCUCCGCUGCGAGGGGAAGUGCGCCGCCCUCCUCCGCAUCGCCCCGAUGAACAACUACGACCUCCGCAUCGAGACGGUGCGCUUCGACGAGCUCCUCGCCGACGACCGCGCCCGGCUCGGCAUGAGCCUCGUCGGCACCAAGAUCAGCGACCACGAGGAUGCCUACGUCCAGGGACAGGAGGUCCUCCGGAUGGGCAUCUACGUCCGGGAUUGGCUCAUCGGCGGCCGGAGGGUCUGCGCCGACAACUGGCGCUCCGAGGAGCUCGGACAGCUCAACUUCAACGUCGGCUUUUGGGGACAGUGGAGCAUCGAUUGAACCUUGCGAGCUUCCAGGUUCUUCGUGUACACCUCGUCCCCAAAAUACAGUAUUCUCUUGCUAUAACGACACUCAUAUGGACGUAUUUAUGCGAAAAGGAGAAAUGUGGAAGUGGAAAGAUGGGGUGUGCUCGUUAGUGGUCGGGCCAUAAGAAUGAAUGGGGAAUAUAAAGCGCCAGUGACGUCAGCGGCAAUGAUCAAGCGCCGCAACGACGGGGAGUCCGUUGGCGUGACUCUUUAAUUCAUGAGCCCUGUCCACAACGCUCUCUUGCCAUGCCCGCGGCUCAUGAGUUAGCAUAUUUUGCCGCUUAGCUCCUUUUGAUUUAAUGUCAAAUCCCGCUUUUCAAUUUUCUCAAAAGGAACUAUAUCCACUUUUACAUUGUUUCUUAUGACCCAACUAACGAGCACACCCCAUCAUUCCACUUGCAUAUAUCUCCUUUUCGCAUAAAUACGUCCAUAUUAUAACGAAAAUCUCUUUUGGCGAAGGUAUCGCCCUUAUGACGACACUCAUUAUAACGAAAAUCUCUUUUGCGAAGGAAUCGCCCGGUUCCUUGAACGAUUUUCCGGCUAUAAUGAAAAUCUCUCUUUUGCGAAAGAAUCGCCCGGUCCCUUGAACGAUUUUCCGGCUAUAAUGAAAAUCUCUCUUCUGCGAAGAAAUCGCCGGUCCCUUGAACGAUUUUCUCGCUAUAACGACACUUAUUACUUCAACAGCUUACGUAGUAGCGAUUCUUGAAUAUUGGCAACACCGUUUUCCGUCAUUUAAAUAUAUGUAAAAUUAUCGAUUGUUUUACUUAUAUCGAUUACAUACAAUCGAUUAUUUUACAUAUAUUUAAAUGUCGGAAAAACGGUGUUGCCAAUAUGCAAGUAUCGCCACUACCUAAGGGUUCCCUCAUCAUUACUACCUUUUAACGAAACCGUUUCGAUAGCUCACCAGGUAUCGAUAGGACAUCCCUACCGUCUCGUCUGCUCACAAUUGAAUAUUUAAAAAAUAUUCUGAGCACGUUUUUCAGGACAGGAGACUUUCUAAGAAUAUUAUCCGUAAAAUUCUCAGAAAAUGCUUUAUUUUUCCUUCUGGAAAAUAAUAAAAUGUUCGUCUGGAUGUUUUGAGCACAUUCGCAGAAAUUAAUGGAUAAACGCGACCGAAUUGGAUGAAUAUGUCUACUGCACAUAAUUGAUACAGUCAUCGGAAUAGACAUUCGUAGUUCAAUUUGAAACUACUCCCAACUCAUUUUUUCCCAAAACUCAACUUGUCGCGUAUCUAUGGAACUCAGUCCAACUUUCCGAGAAACCAAAAAGUUUUCGGCCGAAUGAAACGGGCAUCGUGGUAUACCUCAGAAUGAUAGUAGGUCACUUUACCCCACGAAAAAGUUGCCUGUUUAUCUUCCAUUCUUCUAUUAAUGUAUUUAUUUAUUAAUUUUAUGACCAAAGCUUUGAAAAUUGCCACCAAAUAAUUCUCAGCUGUCUUCGCACUCUGCGCUGAAGUACUUUUUGACAUGAGCUAUUGAAACUCUAGCUCCGGGUAUAGUUAAUUUUGAAAAAAUCAGAAUUUUGUAAUUAACCAUUAGUACCUCAUCAAUAUUGACCCAUACAUGUAACAAUAUCCUUGCCAUGAAGUUGAUUUUUGCAGCAAAGACUUCCUCAUAUUUUCUUCAACGCUGUAAAAGUUUCAUUUGUUACCUCAUUCUAAUUAAAUAGAGAUGUUAGUACCUAUGGUGUGCAUGAGGUAUCAGUACUUGUUUAUCUCGCGAAAAAUACUCGUGCAACAGCGCAAAAGUACUCGAAAAUUUUUCCAUGACUUACUGUCGGACUGUGUAGGCUACCUUUAAAUCAUGAUUCAUAAAAAUUCUCGGAUUCUUGUACGAGAUGAAAGAAAAUUCUAAACCUAAAAAAUAUUCGAAAAUGUCGUCUAGUUUUAUUUUCCACUGCCCUUGACAAUAAGUCAAAUUUCAGGUAAUUUCCGGAAUUUCCAAGAAUUCUCUUCAACUAUGAGAUCACUCUAAAAAUCAACACAUUGUUCUGAAUUUUGACGUCGCAGAAGACAAAAGUAGCGGCAUAGUACCAAAUAAUUAGUUCUCCUCAAAAAUGAUACCUCCAGGCUCCGUACAUUGGAUCUGCGAAAACUCAUGCAUACUGUACUUGGAUGCGGGUUGAGGUUUAUGGCUGAAAGGAAAUUACUUCCACCAGUCACUUUUCCGAAAAAAAAAAUAAUGAUGAGCCAAAAAAAAAAAAGGAAGCCGAGGUCGUGUCGGGAGCUCAUCAUAAAAUGUAUCUGUUAGUGAUGUCAUGAGACAACGCUUUAGAGGCCCGUUUUGAGGUCACGGGUUUAUACAGUUUUUCUGACCUCGUCAUAUAUUCUCGUUGCAAAAGUACUUAACGAAUAGUCGAUCGAAGUUUGAAAUUAAAUUCCACCUCUUUGUAACACCUCCAAUCGGGUGUAUUAUCCAAACUGUUAUACUUAAAAUCCUACGGUCGGCAAACGGUUCGAUAGUCUUCGUAAAAAACGUUUACGAAUAAUUUAGUUCGACACACAUUUAGACGCAAUUUCGUCCAAUUUAAGAUUAGAUUAUGUAAAUUUCUAACGUGGGCUCUCUAAAUUCCCUGGAACUGGUAAAUCCUAAGUGAGUGCCGCUCAGAAUUGUAUUUUAGGUCCAGAUUAAAUACUUAUUAUUUUCAAUUUUUAAAGUGCCAAAUUCUUUAUUUUUGGAAAAGUUUCUCGCCCUUCAAUAUGACACGGAGUCAGGCAGAAUGGGCCUUAAGGCGGAGGAAAGAGGGUAAUAAUUAACGCAGUUGAGAGAGGUUAACUCUGCAUCAUUUGGCGCAACACCUUAACUCCACAUUGUGACCUACGUGAGCACAGUUCAAGGAUGAGAACAUAAACGAAGAAUUGGAGAAAAUCUCUUGGAGUGUGCCAGCGAUGUCACUAGGUUCUGACAUAAUUGAUUUAAAAUUCUAAGUAAUAAAACAUCACUUUAAAUCGAAAAUAUGACCUGAAAUAUCGACCCAAAAUUAGGGAAGCAUUAUAGGAAGCGUUCAUCGUUGCUCUAAGAAAAAUUUCCUGUGGAUCUAUUGGAAUUCCUGUUAAAUCUGCCUUUCCUCUGAAAGGAGUCCCUCGUUGAAACAACUGGAAAUCUCCUUGUCCCAAACAGUAUUCCAAUUAUUUUUAGGGACGUUCGGUUGCUUUAAAAAGGUUUACGGUUCUUUUUACGCGAAUUGGCGGAUAAUUGGCGUAUGUAAGAGGACAAUUUUUCUCAGUGUGAGAACUGAAAAUCUACAUUUUUCACCCCUAUCAGGUUUUCCUUUGUACUCAUCAAUUUGAAAUCUCACCCUAAAACAUUUUGUGUGACCCUAUCAGAAGCAGAAAAAUACUUCAUUUCUCAAAAAAAUUGUGUUGUACUUCUUAUUUCUGGUGUCUAAGAUGAGUCAGCGCCUUUGUGAUAAAAUACUUUACAUUUUUAUACAUCUUAGGUUACAUUACGUUUAAGUUUUUUGUGCAUUCCAUUAUGCAGUAAACUUGUGUUAUGAUACAUGCCGGUAAAUAUUUAUUACAUAUUUAUUUUUCUGUAAAUAUGAUACGAUUUUCUAAGAUGCAUAUACCUAUCGUGAUCGGAGGCUCAUUUGGACCGCGUUUAGCAGAAAGGAACCAAGCCACAUCAGCCACUGCUAAAUUUAAUCGGGCAAUUUAAUUUUUUGCAAGAGAACGUUUGUGCGGCUUAUUCUUUCGAACAAUUUAAGGAAUUUGCUUCGUACUGUACAGAAAAUUUACUGGAAUUUGCAUAAAAAUCCGCAUUACCGUUUUUAUUUUAACGAUUAAAUUGCCCAAUUCAAUUUGCAAUAGCUUACGUGGCUUUGUUCCUUUUGCUUAAUGCAGUCCAUUUUUCACUAUUUAGUCAAGCUCGAUCUCGUCUCAGGAACGGAACCUUUUCACAUGUUCUGAGUAUUAAAAUUGUAGUAGCUAUUUUCUGUUCGCACGUUCGUGUCUUCACUACUCGUUCAAUUUUGAAAUUUUGUCUCGUUUUGAAAAAUGAUUGUUCGUUUUGUCAGAUUUUGUACAUAAAAACCGUAAAGGGUCUAUUUGUUUUCAACUUGUGAAAAUAAAACCGGAUGAUUGAGAAUGGCUCUAUUAUGGAAACUAUUAUUACGUCACCUUCCCAAUUUCUCAUCAAUCGAAUCGUAGACAUUAAAGAACAGCUGAGCUAACCUCAUAUACGGGCAGGUGCAAAUCGCGCUACUAGAAAGGUCACAGAACAGGGUCAAUCAUCAAGCGGACCAUGCCCCUAGCCACCUACACUGCCGUGCUAAGGAAAAACGCUGUAUGAACCUUCAUGCGUUGCCAAAUUUCCCUUCACAAAAGCGAAUUUCCAGGUAAAUAUAUGAAUAUUUUCCUCCCAGUUUUUCAGAUAAUUUAGUUCACAAUUUUACCUAUAGAUUCUGAAACUUUAAAGGAAAAAUAUUCAGAACUUUCCUCAAAAAUGAACAUUUUAUCGAAGGAAAUUUGGCAACUCUCGAAUGUUCAUACGGCGUUUUUCCUUAGGAUGACAGUACAGCCCAGCGUUUACGAAACAGUCGACAACGUUGGGAAGAAAAGAUGUUCAAUUUUUUUUUUUUUCACUCGAAAAUUUAGCGAAAAAUUGUCUCUGAUUCAACGGCAAUUUAUUUCGCUGAAUUUUUUGUUUCUCCAUUCGGAGGAAAAUUUCUCCAUCAUAUUCCAUGAGUGAUUUUUUUUCUUUCCUCCAUUAUUCGAACGUGGUUUUUAUUUUCUAGCCCGAGCCUUUAUUUUCGUCAUCAACGAUAAAGUUAAAUUUUUUCUUUGAUUUUUAAAGAUUAGAAAUUUUCCACUCAAAAGUGCUUUCCUUCGAAGAAAAGAAAACACUUUUCUAAACCAAGACAAUUUUUUCGCUGAUCUCCAUGAAGGUGUAUCCCCGGAGCAUGG
rnacentral:lncRNA from 1 species